rnacentral:rRNA from 1 species
AGCUCCAAUAGCGUAUAUUAAAGUUGUUGUGGUUAAAAAGCUCGUAGUUGGAUCUCGGCGGUCUGAGGGCGGUUCGCUUGAUUGAGUGCUACUGCUCUAUAGGCCGUGGUUUUGCCAGAGGUCUCGGGGUGCUCUUAACCGAGUGUCCUGCGAUGCUGGCAGGUUUACUUUGAAAAAAUUAGAGUGCUCAAAGCAGGCUUUUACGCCUGAAUAUUCGUGCAUGGAAUAAUAGAAUAGGAAGUCGUUUCUAUUUUGUUGGUUUUCGGAAAUCGACUUAAUGAUUAAUAGGGACAGUCGGGGGCAUUUGUAUUCAAACGACAGAGGUGAAAUUCUUGGACCGUUUGAAGACAAACUACUGCGAAAGCAUUUGCCAAGAAUGUUUUCAUUAA